CACACUGUGGAAUAUUCUCAUGGGGAGGAAGAGUCGAAGGAUCAAUACAAUUGUCACGGCUAUCUGUGAGCAUGACACACACAGCGACGUACUUGCCCAAAGUACAAAAAUGGAAAAGACACACUGGGGAUAUGUGAGAGUCGUCCUGUGCCCCGGUUGUAAUGCGGCCAAAAAAGAGCUCUUCUGAGACACGCCCACCCAGCGUCAUGCACAUCCUGUCCAACAGCUGCUCUUUGGUGUACAGGAGGGGGUCAGCGUGCUCAAGAAACCAGCCAGCUACAGCAUGACCAGCCUCAUGGUCCAACUCCCACAAACAUCUCUAAGAAUUCUGAACCAUUGACCGUGAUAAAGGGGACGUUGGCCUCGCCUGCUGUGGCUUUGGCUAGCAAAGUCUUUCCUGUGCCUGGGGGUCCGGUCAAGAUGGCUCCCU